CAGUAGCCACGGUAAUACGAAGGGGGCUAGCGUUGUUCGGAAUUACUGGGCCUAAAGCGCACGUAGGCGGACAUUUAAGUCAGGGGUGAAAUCCCGGGGCUCAACCCCGGAACUGCCUUUGAUACUGGGUGUCUAGAGUAUGGAAGAGGUGAGUGGAAUUCCGAGUGUAGAGGUGAAAUUCGUAGAUAUUCGGAGGAACACCAGUGGCGAAGGCGGCUCACUGGUCCAUUACUGACGCUGAGGUGCGAAAGCGUGGGGAGCAAACAGGAUUAGAUACCCCUGUAGUCCCUGUCUCUUAUAC
rnacentral:rRNA from 1 species